GCUUCAGAGGUAAUCCCUCUGCUCUUACAAAAGGUGAAGUUAGUUUUUUAAUUAUGCCAAAUAGGAAUGGGAUUGAUCCUUUGCUGUGAGAAACACCAGGAGGAAAGAAUGAGUUUCGGCAUAAAUUCGAUCAGCCGGGGCUUUUGGUUCAAUCAGACAUAGGUCUUCUAGAAUCAUUAGCAAGAGGGACUAUAUUAGAGGUUCCUGUGUGAUCAGUGAAAGUCUUCCCACAAUGUGCCUAGUUGCUGUGUACUUCCAAUAUUGGCAGUUUCUGCGGCUGUGGUGAAUUAUCGCAAACUUCAUAAAUAUGAAAGAAAAGGCCGGCUUCAGAUUGCUUAAAGCUCAAGUGAAUGGGCUCUUCAAAAAGCCUCAUCGUCUAUCUGGUUGAUGGAUCACAAGAAGCUCAAUUCAUUUGGGUUUGGGGUUUCAAGAAGGAUUAAUAUAUUUAUAUUAUCCAUUUCCAUAUGUAUAAUAUUUUGCAAUUGGUACUGGAUUCUUCAUAAAAGACUACAUAAAAAAAAUUGCCUUCUCGCUACCUAUCUAGAGCACAGCUGCAAAAAAGAAAUCCACCCCACAUAAAAUCUCAGGUUUUUAGUAAAAUACUUCUAUCUAAAUGCAGAUUUCUGGGGAAAUGUCCUAGAAAAUUUACACCCAGCAUGCAAAUCUGUGCUGCAUGGAGAUUUCCAGGAGGAGCUCUUUUAAAAAGAAUGAGACAUGCGUUAUGUUUUGAUUUGCGUACCCAAGAAAUAUGAGAAAAACCCUGGUCUCUAGUUAUCUAGGGCUCAUGUUCAUUGCAACCAGCGUUAUGGUUUUCUAAAAUAACACGUCGUGCCCUUUGCCUGAGACAUAAGUUAGUCCCAGUCUUAACAUUAGGACAGUUUCUAUGUGCAAUACCAUAGUCAAAAGCAUACCUAUCGGGCAUGAAAAGUGCAGAACUCCAUUGACUUCAAA